rnacentral:rRNA from 1 species
UACGUAGGGCGCAAGCGUUGUCCGGAAUUAUUGGGCGUAAAGAGCUCGUAGGCGGUCUGUCGCGUCUGUUGUGAAAACUCGAGGCUCAACCCCCAGCCUGCAGUGGGUACGGGCAGACUAGAGUGCGGUAGGGGAGAUUGGAACUCCUGGUGUAGCGGUGGAAUGCGCAGAUAUCAGGAGGAACACCGGGUGGCGAAGGCGGGUCUCUGGGCCGAUACUGACGCUGAGGAGCGAAAGCGUGGGGAGCGAACAGG